UGGGGAAUAUUGCACAAUGGGCGCAAGCCUGAUGCAGCCAUGCCGCGUGGAUGAAGAAGGCCUUCGGGUUGUAAAGUACUUUCAGUCGGGAGGAAGGUGGUAAGGUUAAUAACCUUAUCAAUUGACGUUACCGACAGAAGAAGCACCGGCUAACUCCGUGCCAGCAGCCGCGGUAAUACGGAGGGUGCAAGCGUUAAUCGGAAUUACUGGGCGUAAAGCGCACGCAGGCGGUUGAUUGAGUCAGAUGUGAAAUCCCCGGGCUUAACCCGGGAAUUGCAUCUGAUACUGGUCAGCUAGAGUCUUGUAGAGGGGGGUAGAAUUCCAUGUGUAGCGGUGAAAUGCGUAGAGAUGUGGAGGAAUACCGGUGGCGAAGGCGGCCCCCUGGACAAAGACUGACGCUCAGGUGCGAAAGCGUGGGGAGCAAACAGG
rnacentral:rRNA from 1 species